rnacentral:lncRNA from 1 species
CCUAAUUUUCCCUGAAAUUUUUCCGGAGAACUGAAACGCACUACUGGUACCUGCACGUGUUCUAAAAAAUUCCAAAUUAGACCCAAGGCCCCUUUCGGCCAAUAUCGCAAUUCCGACAUGGCGGCUCCGCAGUGCUCCGGCGACGGUUGGCCGUUUUCGGCCGAAUUCGGCCACAUUUACAUCGGUCCCAGUGAUAAAACAACCCUAGGGCCCUCGGGAGGCCAAAAAAUUACGAAAACCGAAGCUUACCGGCGGAGGUGCUCUCGGGUGCAGCGGCUCGCCGACGAGGUUCGUGUUUUGGUGAUCUGGCUCCGAUCAACCUGUAGAGAAAAGAAUGGUGAUCACGGUGAUAUAAAAAUUGCAUCAAACGGAGGCCGGGAAGGGCCUCAUCGGAGGUAAAAAUUGAGGGGCGCGGCGGCGCCGCUGGGUUUCGGCCGUGUUUUCCGG